GACAGAGGCCUCAAGCGUUAGGCGGAAUCACUGGGCUUAAAGCGUGUGUAGGCGGAUCGUUAAGUGCCUUGUGAAAUCCCACGGCUUAACUGUGGAACGGCUGGGCAUACUGGCGGUCUUGAGCCAUCUAGGGGCGACUGGAACAAACGGUGGGGCGGUGAAAUGCGUAGAUAUCGUGUGGAACGCCAAUGGUGAAAACAGGUCGCUGGGGAUGAGCUGACGCUGAGACACGAAAGCCAGGGGAGCAAACGGG
rnacentral:rRNA from 1 species